rnacentral:lncRNA from 1 species
CAGCUGGUGUGGUGCCUGCAGCCUGGGGUUUUUUGCCUGACAGUUGGCUGUGGAGUAUUCCUAGCUCAUGCUCUCCCAGCCCAGCAGUUCUCCCGCUGGCAUCUGCCCGAAAAGCAGGCUUGAUCAGGAUGCCAACCACUUCUGGGAAAGCUGAGUGAUGAUUCUGUGCACAGUUGAAGUUCACCUGGGCCAGUGUUGAUUGACUGCUAUUUGAAAACACAACGGUGUUGAAAUGCUACAAAAGAGAUACACCUUAUCUUGGACAGAGGUGGCAUCCAUUUUGGAAGGGGUGGCAGGUUUCACAGAUGGACACUGAAAGAGCUAUUAAAGCUUUACUUUUCCUGUUUAAAUAUAUCUUUAGCAACUGAGGAUGCCUCUGUCCUUAGGACAUGUCCCUUUUAGAAACCGCUUUUGACUUUUGAUAGUAUUCUCAUGAUUCCAGCCCCACCCCCAUCCUGGGAAUGUCAGUAUAUUUUUUACAAAAUACUUUGAAACAAAAUGAUGAAAUAGAGCAUUCCUCAUAAUUGUUGAAGCUAUUUAGCAUAGAAUUUUCACACUGUGAUUAGAAAUUCACAAGAAAGUGAGGUGCUAAUAACAGAGCAGGCAAAGAGCUCAUUGUUAGCAGUGAGUACAUCAUACUUAAAUGAAGUGACAAGCCUCUUCUUUUUGUCAGAAUUGUAUUUUUUCCAUAUGCUAACAAUUAGAUGACAUUGCUUUUGUGUUAAAUUUGCAGGAGGAUCCCACAUGGAACACAUACUUACGAGGUUUUAGCAUUUUCACCAUUACUCACAUUGUCUUACAUGUUUGAGGUGACUCAGUUCACAAUGCAAGCUCAUUUCUUAGUCUAGACUAGAAUUGCAGACAUUCAUUACAUAUAGGGACAUUGUUGUAACUUAAUAAAAUGAGCCAAAACAUUUAAAACUCUUUGACUCCAGAAAGAAAUAAAAAUUUUCACCAAAGCUCAAGAUACUGUAUCAGUUAAUGAAUAAUUCAAUCGAACUUAUUAAUAAAGUCACUUAACACUAAAUAACUUAGACUGAAUACAAUCUGGUUUUAAAUGAGGUUAAAAGUUUACAUUAAAGACUUAUUAAGGCUUACUGGCCUAUUGGUCUUCUAAUCUAGAUCUUUAGCUAAAAUUGAAUGUAGUAAAUUUCACUUUUUAAUUGGAAACCUUUGGGAGGUUGUAAGAUUUUAAUAAUCUUAAAUACAUUAUUUUUCAAUUUGGAAAUAAUUAACAGCAUUUGUCAUUCAUGAAAAUUUGUAUAUCAUUCAUAAUUUUAUUGCAAUUAAAUCCUCUCCUAGCA